rnacentral:rRNA from 1 species
UGGCGGCGUGCCUAAUACAUGCAAGUCGAACGAAACUUCUUUAUCACCGAGUGCUUGCACUCACCGAUAAAGAGUUGAGUGGCGAACGGGUGAGUAACACGUGGGCAACCUGCCCAAAAGAGGGGGAUAACACUUGGAAACAGGUGCUAAUACCGCAUAACCAUAGUUACCGCAUGGUAACUAUGUAAAAGGUGGCUAUGCUACCGCUUUUGGAUGGGCCCGCGGUGCAUUAGCUAGUUGGUGGGGUAAAGGCUUACCAAGGCAAUGAUGCGUAGCCGAACUGAGAGGUUGAUCGGCCACAUUGGGACUGAGACACGGCCCAAACUCCUACGGGAGGCAGCAGUAGGGAAUCUUCCACAAUGGGCGAAAGCCUGAUGGAGCAACGCCGCGUGGGUGAAGAAGGUCUUCGGAUCGUAAAACCCUGUUGUUAGAGAAGAAAGUGCGUGAGAGUAACUGUUCACGUUUCGACGGUAUCUAACCAGAAAGCCACGGCUAACUACGUGCCAGCAGCCGCGGUAAUACGUAGGUGGCAAGCGUUAUCCGGAUUUAUUGGGCGUAAAGGGAACGCAGGCGGUCUUUUAAGUCUGAUGUGAAAGCCUUCGGCUUAACCGGAGUAGUGCAUUGGAAACUGGGAGACUUGAGUGCAGAAGAGGAGAGUGGAACUCCAUGUGUAGCGGUGAAAUGCGUAGAUAUAUGGAAGAACACCAGUGGCGAAAGCGGCUCUC